GGUUACUGCUAUCGGUGUUCGCCUAAGCCAUGCGAGUCAUAUGUAGCAAUACAUGGCGUACUGCUCAGUAACAAGUGGAUAACCUGCCCUUGGGUCCGGCAUAACCCCGGGAAACUGGGGAUAAUUCCGGAUAACGCAUAUAUGCUGGAAUGCUUUCUGCGUAAAAUGGAUUCGUCUGCCCAAGGAUGGGUCUGCGGCCUAUCAGGUAGUAGUGGGUGUAAUGUACCUACUAGCCUACGACGGGUACGGGUUGUGAGAGCAAGAGCCCGGAGAUGGAUUCUGAGACAUGAAUCCAGGCCCUACGGGGCGCAGCAGGCGCGAAAACUUUACAACGCGGGAAACCGUGAUAAGGGGACACCGAGUGCCAGCAUUAUAUGUUGGCUGUCCGGGUGUGUAAAAUACACCUGUUAGCAAGGGCCGGGCAAGACCGGUGCCAGCCGCCGCGGUAACACCGGCGGCCCGAGUGGUGAUCGUGUUUAUUGGGUCUAAAGGGUCCGUAGCCGGUUUGGUCAGUCCUCCGGGAAAUCUGACGGCUUAACCGUUAGGCUUUCGGGGGAUACUGCCAGACUUGGAACCGGGAGAGGUAAGAGGUACUACAGGGGUAGGAGUGAAAUCUUGUAAUCCCUGUGGGACCACCUGUGGCGAAGGCGUCUUACCAGAACGGGUUCGACGGUGAGGGACGAAAGCUGGGGGCACGAACCGGAUUAGAUACCCGGGUAGUCCCAGCCGUAAACGAUGCUCGCUAGGUGUCAGGCAUGGCGCGACCGUGUCUGGUGCCGCAGGGAAGCCGUGAAGCGAGCCACCUGGGAAGUACGGCCGCAAGGCUGAAACUUAA
rnacentral:rRNA from 1 species